rnacentral:lncRNA from 1 species
UUGAAUUUCAAAAACUCUUACGGUAUUUAAUACAAUGUAUAGGUGCAGCUGACUUGUCUGUUUACAGUAGAUAGGUGUUACUGUUUUAGGGUUUUAAUUAGCGAUCAUGCCCUUUGUAUCUCAUGUCCAUAUGUAUUCUUGUUAGUUUUGUAAGGUAUAACCUAGUUAGGAAUAUGGCUAUGAAGCUCUUGUUCCACUUUAUCUUUUUUGUUGAGACAGAAUCUCACGCACUCUGUUGCCCAGGUUGGAGUGCAGCGGUGCAAUCUCGGCUGACUGCAACCUCUGCCUCCUGAGUUUAAGCAAUUCUCCUGCCUCAGCCUCCCGAGUAGCUGGGAUUACAGGUGCCCACCACCAUGCCUGGCUAAUUUUUGUAUUUUUAGUAGGGAUGGGGUUUCACCAUGUUAGCCAGACUGGUCUGAAACUCCUGACCUAAAAUGAUCCACCCGCCUUGGCCUCCCAAAGUGCUGGGAUUACAGGUGUGAGCCACUGCGCCAUGCCUUGUUCCACUUUAUCUUUCAAGAGUAAGUUUCAUCGUGGAUUAUGGUUAAAGACAAGUGCUGAUUUGGUUUUCCUACCUGAUCACGAGGCCACUCGAUAGAACUAGUAAGCUAUGCCUUGGGCCUGCAGGAUGGCACCUGACUUGAAGAUAGCACCUGACUUGAAGAUGGCACCUGACUAGCAUUUGGACUGGUUUGCAGGCUGAGCACAGGGUUGCUCCAGGUGGGCCCAAAUGCUGAAGAGCCUCAUGUUAGAGUUUUUCACCUCUGCGAUGGAACUGUGGUGGACUCCAGUAUCAUCAUUCCAGGGAGGCAUAGCCGCACCAACUGUGUUCCCAGGUUUCACAUGGAGAAGGGUUUUAGAAAGUGCAGAUAGCCUUGAAACCAUUGGUUUCCUACCACUGUUUAUUUCAGCAUAACUUUUUUUGUGUGGAAUGCUAGCUCUGGAAGAGCAGAAAUAAAUACAGCUUAAGCUUUGAACCAUAUCCUGCUGUACUUUUUCUCAUAAGCUGGAAAUAGAA